AUGGGAAAUCAGGGGUCCGCCGCCAUUGCCAUAGCGGUUAUAGCGGUGGGCGCGCUCGCGGCAGAGCACUGCAGCUGGCGCACGGCACUGGAGGCCUGGACCAAGUCGCAGCGUGCUACGCGGUUAAUCUCCGGUCGGGAUAGCACACCGUCACGCUUGGACACGCCCAGGAGCUUGUUUGGGAUUGCGACGCUGGCUGACCCAACCCCGUCCAGCUCACCAGGACCUCGUCCGGAGGCGAGUCCAGGAUCAAUUGCGCCGGCGCCAACCAACGGCACCAACGGCACGGCGUUUCGCGCCACCCUGCUCCCGCUCCUCCGCUCUCUCCCCUCCGCCGCCGCGCACACGGGCUUCGCCUCCCUACAUUCCGCCGCCCGCGGGGAGCGCGUUUUCGCGCGGGGGCUCUGCUUCGGCAACUCCACGGUCCCGUCCCAGUGCGCCCGGUGUCUGUCCGCCGCGGCUGGGAACCUCACCGCCGGCUGCGGUGCCACCAGCCGGCGCGCCGGCAUCUGGAGCGACCGGUGCUUCCUCUCCUACGCCGACACCAACACAUCCUCGCCUAGCGAGGACGCCUUCCGCGCGCGCGUGCGCGUCCUCCUCCCGGGCGACGACGCCGUCCCUCGAUCUGCGGCCAGCACCAAAUCCUUCUACUACGCCCAUCUGCACGAUGUACUCGUCGCCAUGGCGAAGGACGUGGCGCGGCGCGCGGCCGCAAACAUCUCCGGGCCGCGGAUGCUGGCCACAGCGGAGGAGACCAACUCCGACAGCGCGGUGAGCAGAACAGUGCACGUUCUGGCGCAGUGCGGGAGGGACCGCACGGCGGCGGACUGCGUCCGGUGCUUGCAGGACUCGGUGCAGGCCGUGGACUGGGACCUCCACGCUGCUCACAGCGACGGUGGCGUGGCGGCCGCGGUGAUGGGCUUCGACUGCUACCUACGGUUCGAGGUCUCCACUGCAGUGGGUGACAACUAUGGCAGUAAUUUUAUGCUACUGGCGUUCCUCGUGAUGGAUAUGUUGGCAGGAGUCUUGUGCGCGUUUACUUGUGCUGUUGCCCCGUGA
rnacentral:rRNA from 1 species